GACGAACGCUGGCGGCGUGCUUAACACAUGCAAGUCGAACGGAAAGGCCCUGCUUUUGUGGGGUGCUCGAGUGGCGAACGGGUGAGUAACACGUGAGUAACCUGCCCUUGACUUUGGGAUAACUUCAGGAAACUGGGGCUAAUACCGGAUAGGAGCUCCUGCUGCAUGGUGGGCGUUGGAAAGUUUCGGCGGUUGGGGAUGGACUCGCGGCUUAUCAGCUUGUUGGUGGGGUAGUGGCUUACCAAGGCUUUGACGGGUAGCCGGCCUGAGAGGGUGACCGGCCACAUUGGGACUGAGAUACGGCCCAGACUCCUACGGGAGGCAGCAGUGGGGAAUAUUGCACAAUGGGCGGAAGCCUGAGGCAGCAACGCCGCGUGCGGGAUGACGGCCUUCGGGUUGUAAACCGCUUUCGCCUGUGACGAAGCGUGAGUGACGGUAAUGGGUAAAGAAGCACCGGCUAACUACGU
rnacentral:rRNA from 1 species